AACGCACGAGACCUGCGGACCUGCGGAGGGAUCAUUACCGAGUUUACAACUCCCAAACCCAAUGUGAACGUUACCAAACUGUUGCCUCGGCGGGGUCACGCCCCGGGUGCGUCGCAGCCCCGGAACCAGGCGCCCGCCGGAGGAACCAACCAAACUCUUUCUGUAGUCCCCUCGCGGACGUUAUUUCUUACAGCUCUGAGCAAAAAUUCAAAAUGAAUCAAAACUUUCAGCAACGGAUCU
rnacentral:misc_RNA from 1 species